rnacentral:rRNA from 1 species
CUUGUAGGCGGUUUGUCGCGUCUGCCGUGAAAUCCUCUGGCUUAACUGGGGGCGUGCGGUGGGUACGGGCAGACUUGAGUGCGGUAGGGGAGACUGGAACUCCUGGUGUAGCGGUGGAAUGCGCAGAUAUCAGGAAGAACACCAAUGGCGAAGGCAGGUCUCUGGGCCGUCACUGACGCUGAGGAGCGAAAGCGUGGGAGCGAACA